rnacentral:rRNA from 1 species
ACGCUCGACACCUACGGGAGGCAGCAGGUGGGGAAUAUUGCACAAGUGGGGGAAACCCUGAUGCAGCGACGCCGCGUGAAGGAAGAAGUAUCUCGGUAUGUAAACUUCUAUCAGCAGGGAAGAAAUGACGGUACCUGACUAAGAACGCCCCGGCUAACUACGUGCCAGUAGCCGCGGUAAUCUGAGGCGGGCUGGCGAAGGC